rnacentral:rRNA from 1 species
UGGCUCAGAUUGACCGCUGGCGGCAGGCUUAACACAUGCAAGUCGAGCGGCAGCGACUUAACUGAACCUUCGGGGAACGUUAAGGGCGGCGAGCGGCGGACGGGUGAGUAAUGCCUGGGAAUAUGCCCUGAUGUGGGGGAUAACUAUUGGAAACGAUAGCUAAUACCGCAUAAUCUCUUCGGAGCAAAGAGGGGGACCUUCGGGCCUCUCGCGUCAGGAUUAGCCCAGGUGGGAUUAGCUUGUUGGUGAGGUAAUGGCUCACCAAGGCAACGAUCCCUAGCUGGUCUGAGAGGAUGAUCAGCCACACUGGAACUGAGACACGGUCCAGACUCCUACGGGAGGCAGCAGUGGGGAAUAUUGCACAAUGGGGGAAACCCUGAUGCAGCCAUGCCGCGUGUGUGAAGAAGGCCUUCGGGUUGUAAAGCACUUUCAGUAGGGAGGAAGGUAGUGUAGUUAACACCUGCAUUAUUUGACGUUACCUACAGAAGAAGCACCGGCUAACUCCGUGCCAGCAACCGCGGUAAUACGGAGGGUGC